rnacentral:lncRNA from 1 species
ACGUCAUCGAAACAAACGCUCACUGCGCAUGCGCAUGAACUAUAAAAGCGCGGGUUCGCACGUUCUUUCUUCCCAGUUCCGUCUUUCUUGAGAAGGGUGAGUAAUAUUCACUUUGUGAUUUCGUUUUUUUUUUUUUUUAAAUAGUUUUUUAUCUACUGGAGAAGUUUUUAAAAUCACGUUCUGUAGGUGUUUUACCAAACUACCCACAGUGCUAAAGUUGUACAAAUUAAAACUAAGGAUUUUGGUGUAGUUCCGCGCUGAGCACGUGGCUCAUUUUCGAUGCACCCGGGAAGGUUCUAGACAAUGAAAACUUGACUGUAUGUGGGCUGUUGGACCAUGGAGUUUUCCUAUAGUGCUUACUCAGCUUUUGAUCAUACUGGAGCCAAAUGGAUAACCUUAAAUUCAUCAGACUUUGUUUCAGAAGUCUUUAACACUCUAAAACGGGAAGAAUUCUGUAAUUCAAGAGGACCACACAGUGACCCUUGAUGAAUGGCCACACGUGAAGGAGUUUGAGCGAUCUGUGCUCCUGAAGGCCCUUCAGUGCCAAACCCACGUGGAGCAGUGGAUGAAGUACACAAUGGGUUUUCUCCAAGCAGUCUAGCGUUUACCAGCCAUAGGGGAGGAAAUGCCUUUUGAGAGCAUUAAAGUUGCUUUUAUUUUGACCUACUAGUGUUCCAACCUGCUAUUUUUGAAGAAGCAUUCAAGUUUGUUAAAUUGUAACUUCUCAGAAUGCAGUCACUAAUUAUUGCUUGUAACUUGUUUGUUCGAUGCAAGUGUAAAUAGUCUGGCAGAUACCUUUUACAUGUUCAAUAAAACUAAGCCAUGAACCGAACUUCGCGUUUAUGAAAAUUGUUUUCUGCAUUUCUCAACGGUGACCUUAUAGAGGUCAAAUGUAUAAUGCAAAUCAAGCUGGCUUUUCAGUGGAGUGAAAUUUGUCUAGAGGACAUUCGAACUGAAAUCAAUUCAAAUUGAGCAAUUUUGCUCAAAUUGAGCAACAACAAAAAAAAAAGUUAUUAAAUCAUAUGGUUUAAUAAAAC